rnacentral:rRNA from 1 species
GACGUAGGGCGCGAGCGUUGUCCGGAUUUAUUGGGCGUAAAGAGCUCGUAGGCGGCUUGUCGCGUCGACCGUGAAAACUUGGGGCUCAACCCCAAGCCUGCGGUCGAUACGGGCAGGCUCGAGUUCGGUAGGGGGAGACUGGAAUUCCUGGUGUAGCGGUGAAAUGCGCAGAUAUCAGGAGGAACACCGAUGGCGAAGGCAGGUCUCUGGGCCGAUACUGACGCUGAGGAGCGAAAGCGUGGGGAGCGAACAGG